rnacentral:tRNA from 1 species
GGGGUUGUGGCUCAGUGGUAGAGCUUUUGCCUAGCAUGUGUGAGGCCCUGGGUUCAAUUCUCAGCACCA